rnacentral:rRNA from 1 species
GGCAACCCUGACGGAGCAACGCCGCGUGGGGGAGGAAGGUCUGUGGAUUGUAAACCCCUUUUCUCAGGGAAGAAGGACUGACGGUACCUGAGGAAUCAGCAUCGGCUAACUCCGUGCCAGCAGCCGCGGUAAGACGGAGGAUGCAAGCGUUAUCCGGAAUUAUUGGGCGUAAAGCGUCCGUAGGCGGUUAAUUAAGUCUGUCGUUAAAGACUGCAGCUCAACUGUGGGAUGGCGGUGGAAACUGAGUAACUGGAGUACGGUAGGGGUAGAGGGAAUUCCCAGUGUAGCGGUGAAAUGCGUAGAUAUUGGGAAGAACACCAGUGGCGAAGGCGCUCUACUGGGCCGCGACUGACGCUGAGGGACGAAAGCUAGGGGAGCG